CCUACGGGAGGCAGCAGUGGGGAAUUUUCCGCAAUGGGCGAAAGCCUGACGGAGCAAUACCGCGUGAGGGACGAAGGUCUGUGGAUUGUAAACCUCUUUUGUUAGGGAAGAUAAUGACGGUACCUAACGAAUAAGCAUCGGCUAACUCCGUGCCAGCAGCCGCGGUAAGACGGAGGAUGCAAGCGUUAUCCGGAAUUAUUGGGCGUAAAGCGUACGUAGGCUGUUUUGUAAGUCUGUUGUCAAAGCGCGAGGCUCAACCUUGUAAAGGCAAUGGAAACUGCGAGACUAGAGAGAGAUAGGGGCAGGAGGAAUUCCAGGUGUAGCGGUGAAAUGCGUAGAUAUCUGGAAGAACACCAGUGGCGAAAGCGUCCUGCUGGAUCUCAACUGACGCUGAAGUACGAAAGCUAGGGGAGCGAAUGGGAUUAGAUACCCCAGUAGUCCUAGCCGUAAACGAUGGGUACUAGGUGUUGGCCGUAUCGACCCGGUCAGUGCCGUAGCUAACGCGUUAAGUACCCCGCCUGGGGAGUACGGUCGCAAGAUUGAAACUUAAAGGAAUUGACGG
rnacentral:rRNA from 1 species